AAUGAACGUUGGCGGCAUGGAUUAGGCAUGCAAGUCGCACGAGAACCCAAUUAGCUUGCUAUGAGGGGGACAGUGGCGAAAGGGAGAGUAACGUGUGGUUACUUGCCCUCGAGACCGGGAUAGCGUCGGGAAACUGGCGGUAAUACCGGAUAACAUCUUCGGAUCAAAUGGUGUGAUUCCGCUCGAGGAUAGGACCGCAUACUAUUAGCUUGUUGGUGAGGUAAUGGCUCACCAAGGCUGCGAUGGUUACCGGGUGUGAGAGCAUGGCCCGGCUCACUGGGACUGAGACACUGCCCAGACAUCUACGGAUGGCUGCAGUCGAGAAUCUUCGGCAAUGGACGAAAGUCUGACCGAGCGAUGCCGCGUGCGGGAUGAAGGCCCUCGGGUUGUAAACCGCUGUCAGUAGUUAGGAAAUGCUAUAGGGUUCUCUCUAUAGUUUGACCGAUCUUCAGAGGAAGGACGGGCUAAGUUCGUGCCAGCC
rnacentral:rRNA from 1 species